UACGGAGGGGGCUAGCGUUGUUCGGAAUUACUGGGCGUAAAGCGCACGUAGGCGGCUUUGUAAGUUAGAGGUGAAAGCCCGGGGCUCAACUCCGGAAUUGCCUUUAAGACUGCAUCGCUAGAAUUGUGGAGAGGUAAGUGGAAUUCCGAGUGUAGAGGUGAAAUUCGUAGAUAUUCGGAAGAACACCAGUGGCGAAGGCGGCUGACUGGACAUGUAUUGACGCUGAGGUGCGAAAGCGUGGGGAGCGAACAGG
rnacentral:rRNA from 1 species